GGAGUAGACCGGAUGAUCGCUCGUGGCGGUGCGCCGCGGGAGGAAAGUCCGGACUCCACGGGCAGGGCGCUGGGUAACCCCCAGGCGGAGUGAUCCGACACCGGCGCCACAGAGAAUAGACCGCCGAUGGCCGGGCGAGGAUCGCAUGCAAGCUGAGCUGCGGUCUCCGCUGGGCUCAGGCAAGGGUGAAACGGUGGGGUAAGAGCCUACCGCGUCUGUGGUGACACAGACGGCACGGCAAGCGUCGCCCGGAGCAAGACCAAAUAGGAGGGCAAUCCACACGUCCCGAUCAAAGGGGCAGUGUGGGAACGGCUGGCCCAGUCGUCGUCCUCGGGUAGGUCGCACGAGGCUCAGGGUAACCUGAGCCCCAGAGAAAUGAUCAUCCCCGUGUCGGACCAACUCCGAGACGGGACAGAAUCCGGCUUAUAGGUUUUCUCCAGCG
rnacentral:RNase_P_RNA from 1 species